GGUCUUAUAUUCAUUCAUGAUGUUAGAUUGCAAAUCUAAAGGAGUAAGUUAAGUUGUUUUACUAAGGCUU
rnacentral:tRNA from 1 species